rnacentral:rRNA from 1 species
UACGUAGGGUGCAAGCGUUGUCCGGAAUUAUUGGGCGUAAAGAGCUCGUAGGCGGUCUGUCGCGUCGAAUGUGAAAACCCGAGGCUCAAUCUCGAGCCUGCAUUCGAUACUGGGCGGCUAGAGUCUGGUAGGGGGAUCUGGAAUUCCUGGUGUAGCGGUGGAAUGCGCAGAUAUCAGGAGGAACACCGGUGGCGAAGGCGGGAUCCUGGGCCAGUACUGACGCUGAGGAGCGAAAGCGUGGGGAGCAAACAGG